ACCUGGUUGAUCCUGCCAGUGGUCAUAUGCUCGUCUCAAAGACUAAGCCAUGCAUGUCCAAGUUCAUAACUUUAUGUUGAAACUGCGAAUGGCUCAGUAAAUCGGUUAUAGUCCGUUCUGCAAACGAGAGCGCGGAUAACCGUGGCAAAUCUAGAGCUAACACGAAGAAGGUCUCCGAGGAGAGCAUUUACUAAAGUCGAAACGUACCCUCCUCUAGGUAGGGUACGGAGAGUGAGUGAAAGUAACUGUACAACCGGCUGCAAAGACGGUGAGUAGGAAGGAAUUUCUGCCCUAUCAACUAGUUGGCAGGGUAGUGGCCUACCAAAGCGGUAACGGGUAACGGGGAAUCAGGGUUUGAUUCCGGAGAGGGAGCCUUAGAAACGGCUACCACGUCCAAGGAAGGCAGCAGGCGCGCAAAUUACCCACUCUAGAUACUGGGAGGUAGUGACGAGAAAUAAUGGGGGCACCCUAAAAGGGCGCCGUCUGUAAUGAACGAAACACAAAAGCGUCGGUGAGGACCUACUGGAGGGCAAGUCUGGUGCCAGCAGCCGCGGUAAUUCCAGCUCCAGUAGUGUAUAUCAACAUUGUUGCGCUUAAAACGCUCGUAGUUGGGUUGCAGAUCGUACGAGAGUAGCCUUUUGGGCGACUCUUUAGAAAUCCUUUAGAGGCUAGUAUUUUAUUACCUCUAGAAGACGGUACGAGAUUGACUAUCGGAAAGACGGCCCGUUUUCAAUAACCCGCCUGCUAUCCCGGUAAAGUGUGCCUUGAAUAAAGCAUAAUGCUAAAAGUAAGCUAGUAGCUCGAGUGUAAUAGCAUGGAACGAAUAGUGACCAAGGGCGCAAGCCCGCCCUGUCAAUUGACACAGGGGGUCUCAAUGACCAAGAGGAAAGUUUGCGGGCACUGGUACUUUGGGGCGAGAGGUGAAAUUCUUAGACCCCCAAAAGACCAACUACUGCGAAGGCAUUUGCCAAAGAUGUUUCCGUUAAUCAAGAACGAAGGUCAGAGGAUCGAAGACGAUCAGAUACCGUCCUAGUUUUGACAGAAAACUCUGCCGGCGUAGGUGGGCGGCGAUCACUCGCAAAGAGACGAAUCACCGCGGACCUUAGGGGAAACCUGAGCUUUCGGGCUGCUGGGAGAAUAUUGCUGCAAGGCUGAAAUUUAAAGAAAUUGACGGAGAGGCACCACCAGGAGUGGAGCUUGCGGCUUAAUUUGACUCAACACGGGGAAACUCACCGGGUCCAGACAUUGGAAGGAUUGACAGAGUGGUGGAUCUUUCAUGAUUCAGUGAAUGGUGGUGCAUGGCCGUUCUUAGUUGGUGGAGUGAUCUGUCAGGUUUAUUCCGGUAACGAGCGAGACCGCGGUCUUUAAUUGGCUUCCAUUAAUUAAACCUUUCACCGGGUUUAAUGGUGGAUUCGAAAUAAAGAGACAAUCGGUGCAAAGCCGGCGGAAGCGCGGCAAUAACAGGUCUGUGAUGCCCUGCGAUGUCCUGGGCUGCACGCGUGCUACAAUGGCAGGAUAAGAAGGCGGCUGGCCCGAGCGGGUUGGCGAAGCGUCAAUACCUGCCGCGAUGGGGACUGAGCCUUGCAAUUAUUGCUCACGAAAGAGGAAUUCCUCGUAGGCGCAGGUCAUGAGCCUGCGUCGAAUACGUCUCUGCCUCUUGUACACACCGCCCGUCGCUACUACCGAUGGGGGGCUCGCAGAGGCGGCCAGAGAGCCCUGCAUUCAAUUUGCCUGUCUCCACGGCCUACGAUGCGAGUAGCCUAGAGGAAGUAAAAGUCGUAACAAGGUUUCCGUAGGUGAACCUGCGGAAG
rnacentral:rRNA from 1 species